UGUGGGAGCUGGCUUGCCUGCGAUACAGACGACUCGGUCUAUCUGGUUCACCGAGGCGAUGUUAUCGCAGGCAAGCCAGCUCCCACA
rnacentral:misc_RNA from 1 species